rnacentral:rRNA from 1 species
UACGUAGGGUCCGAGCGUUGUCCGGAAUUACUGGGCGUAAAGAGCUCGUAGGUGGUUUGUCGCGUUGUUCGUGAAAACUCACAGCUCAACUGUGGGCGUGCGGGCGAUACGGGCAGACUAGAGUACUGCAGGGGAGACUGGAAUUCCUGGUGUAGCGGUGGAAUGCGCAGAUAUCAGGAGGAACACCGGUGGCGAAGGCGGGUUGCUGGGCUGACACUGACGCUGAGGCGCGAAAGCUAGGGGAGCGAACGGG